AGGUCAGUAGUUCAGUUGGUAGAGCAUCGGUCUCCAAAACCGAGUGUCGAGGGUUCGAGUCCUUCCUGGCCUG
rnacentral:tRNA from 1 species